UACGGGGGGGGCAAGCGUUGUUCGGAAUUACUGGGCGUAAAGGGCUGGUAGGCGGCCAACUAAGUCGGAUGUGAAAUCCCCAGGCUUAACCUGGGAACUGCAUCCGAUACUGGUCGGCUUGAAUCCGGGAGAGGGAUGCAGAAUUCCAGGUGUAGCGGUGAAAUGCGUAGAUAUCUGGAGGAAUACCGGUGGCGAAGGCGGCAUCCUGGACCGGCAUUGACGCUGAACAGCGAAAGCUAGGGGAGCAAACCGGGAGUUAGAAAACC
rnacentral:rRNA from 1 species